rnacentral:lncRNA from 1 species
UAUUACAUUGAAAUUUGAUCAUGUCCAUUGCUAGCUAUUACAUACACAUGACUUCUUUACUCUAUCCGGACUCCCGCACUAUACUGUACCUGCAAGCCUGGGGGUAAAGGGAGAGGGGUGAGCUAAAAGCCCAGUGAGUAGAGCUAUUAAAACACAUUAACACUAUGCUCUAUGAAAUGCAUCAUAACACAAACAAUCCACAUAAGGGUUGGGUGAACU